UACGCUCUGGCGGCCUAAAGCCCGCUAGCCCCUGACCGAAACUUGCUUGUGAGGUUCGGAGCCUUUCGGGGCGCUUCAGGGGUCGACUAACACAAGAUCGCCACCGAACCUGUCCGGGGGGGAGGGGCUAAAACUCACCGGAACCGCCGUUCGUCGCCCUGCCGGUCGGGUUGCGAACGGUUAAAUUAAAGAUCAGGCUAAGCAUGUAGGGCCAAAGGCAGAGGAUCUGCGGACGGGGGUUCGAUUCCCCCCGCCUCCACCA
rnacentral:tmRNA from 1 species